AGUCAAUCAACCUGGUAAUCAGCAGACAACUUACUAAUUAUUUACACAUCUUGAUACAAUAGAAUGCAAGCACCUGAUUCGUAAAAUAAGGAUGUAGAACCUCUAGAAGGGAGAGCAGGAUACUCCAAUUGGCUGAAUGUGGGAGGAAUAUAACAUUUCGAAAUGCACCUGAGUUCUUGGGGCAUCGUUCAUUUGAUUUGUACUCACUUGAGGGUUCCGGCGUAUAUAUAGACAUAUGUAUGGACACACCAACGAAGUAUUGUGUUCUCACUUGAAUUUUGGUUGCUCCAAACACUUCUAAAGAAUCAACUACCCUGAAUCAUAUAUGAAAUCAAUAAGUACACGUGACACAAAGUAUCUGACAUAAUAGUUUUUUAGUUACAGAAGUAAGAAAUUCAGCCUGCAUCUUAAAUACAAAAAUGAUAUCUGAAUUAUCGUCCUAAGUGUCACUCUCAGCUAUCAAUACAAACAGAUUGAAAAAAGAUACAGAGAUAAUAUGGCACAGUAGACGCCUUUGGUACAAGUUACUAAUCUAUUUCUUCAUUUCUUUUGCGGUGGUGACGCUAGUUCUAGGUGUGACCUAUACAACUGAUGUGUCAAUAUGGCACCAACAAAACAUGCUGAGACUCAUGCACAGUUCAAAUUUAAACAUUGCUUCUAUCUAACCCAGAUAUCAAUGACCACACCUAUUUUUGUAGGAAGGCUACUUCUUUAGCAUGUGAUAGACCUUUUGAUAAAAGUUCCCUAAUAACUGCUUCCCAAAUACGCUGGCCUCUGAAGAAGAAAGUGGUGCCUUCCUGCAUUGAUCACAGAGGAUCAUCACUCAGGAUAUCAGAUAUCUGC
rnacentral:lncRNA from 1 species